UAGCGAUGGGGUGACGCAGGAAGGUAGCUGGGCCAGUCAGUGGUUGUACUGGUGUAAGAGUGUAGGCCGUGACAUAGGCAAAUCCGUGUCACAUUAAGGCUGAGACUUGAUGCAUACCCGUUGUGGGGAAUUCAGUGAUCCUAUGCUGCCGAGAAAAGCCUCUAGUGAGUUCAUACACGGCCCGUACCCCAAACCGACACAGGUGAUCAGGUAGAGAAUACCAAGGCGAUCGAGAGAACUGUGGUUAAGGAACUCGGCAAAAUGCCCCCGUAACUUCGGGAGAAGGGGGACCAUGCCCGGUGAACAUCUUCACGGUGGGAGCUGGGUGUGGUCGCAGAGACCAGAGAGAAGCGACUGUUUACUAAAAACACAGGUCCGUGCGAAGACGUAAGUCGAUGUAUACGGACUGACGCCUGCCCGGUGCUGGAAGGUUAAGAGGACCGGUUAGCCGUAAGGCGAAGCUGAGAAUUUAAGCCCCAGUAAACGGCGGUGGUAACUAUAACCAUCCUAAGGUAGCGAAAUUCCUUGUCGGGUAGUUCCGACCUGCACGAAUGGCGUAACGACUUCUCUGCUGUCUCGACCACAGACUCGGCGAAAUUGCACUACGAGUAAAGAUGCUCGUUACGCGCGGCAGGACGAAAAGACCCCGGGACCUUUACUAUAGCUUGGUAUUGGCGUUCGAUUCGGUUUGUGUAGGAUAGGUGGGAGACUGUGAAGCAUGCACGCCAGUGUGUGUGGAGUCGUUGUUGAAAUACCACUCUGAUCGUAUUGGACGUCUAACCUCGGCCCAUGAUCUGGGUUAGGGACAGUGCCUGGUGGGUAGUUUAACUGGGGCGGUUGCCUCCUAAAGAGUAACGGAGGCGCCCAAAGGUUCCCUCAGCCUGGAUGGCAAUCAGGUGUUGAGUGCAAGUGCACGAGGGAGCUUGACUGUGAGACUGACACGUCGAGCAGGGACGAAAGUCGGGACUAGUGAUCCGGCACCGGCAAGUGGAAGCGGUGUCGCUCAACGGAUAAAAGGUACCCCGGGGAUAACAGGCUGAUCUUCCCCAAGAGUCCAUAUCGACGGGAUGGUUUGGCACCUCGAUGUCGGCUCGUCGCAUCCUGGGGCUGGAGUAGGUCCCAAGGGUUGGGCUGUUCGCCCAUUAAAGCGGCACGCGAGCUGGGUUUAGAACGUCGUGAGACAGUUCGGUCUCUAUCCGCCGCGCGCGUAAGAAACUUGAGGAAGGCUGUCCCUAGUACGAGAGGACCGGGACGGACGAACCUCUGGUGUGCCAGUUGUUCCACCAGGAGCAUGGCUGGUUAGCUACGUUCGGAAGGGAUAACCGCUGAAAGCAUCUAAGCGGGAAGCCUGUUCCAAGAUGAGGUUUCUCACCACCUUGCGUGGUUAAGGCCCCCUACAGACCAUGGGGUUGAUAGGCCGGAACUGGAAGCGCAGCAAUGCGUGGAGGUGACCGGUACUAAUAGGCCGAGGGCU
rnacentral:rRNA from 1 species